CAGUGUUUCCUGCCCUAACGGGUAGAAACCCCACCCUUGUAUAUUAUAUUUUGUUGCUUCGGCAGGCCACUCUUAGAGUGUAGGCUUAUCGUGCCUGUCAAAGGACCUUUAAAUUCUUGUUAUAGUGUCGUCUGAGUAUUAUAUAAUAGUUA
rnacentral:misc_RNA from 1 species